rnacentral:ncRNA from 2 species
CUCCAUGAUGCCAUGACAAGACUAUAAGAGCACAGUUUGAACUGACUUCACAAGACGGACGAGAACGUCGCUGCAAUAUUCUGAUGA